AUGAACGCUGGCGGCGUGCCUAAUACAUGCAAGUCGCGCGAACAGACGAGGAGCUUGCUCCUCUGACGUUAGCGGCGGACGGGUGAGUAACACGUGGAUAACCUACCUAUAAGACUGGGAUAACUUCGGGAAACCGGAGCUAAUACCGGAUAAUAUAUUGAACCGCAUGGUUCAAUAGUGAAAGACGGUUUUGCUGUUACUUAUAGAUGGAUCCGCGCCGCAUUAGCUAGUUGGUAAGGUAACGGCUUACCAAGGCAACGAUGCGUAGCCGACCUGAGAGGGUGAUCGGCCACACUGGAACUGAGACACGGUCCAGACUCCUACGGGAGGCAGCAGUAGGGAAUCUUCCGCAAUGGGCGAAAGCCUGACGGAGCAACGCCGCGUGAGUGAUGAAGGUCUUCGGAUCGUAAAACUCUGUUAUUAGGGAAGAACAAAUGUGUAAGUAACUAUGCACGUCUUGACGGUACCUAAUCAGAAAGCCACGGCUAACUACGUG
rnacentral:rRNA from 1 species